UUUUAACGUGUUAUUUUUACAAUCAUUGAUUUGUUUGGUCGAGUCGACGUUGAUAUUGUCUGUUUUCAAAAUAAAUUCAAAAUACAAAAAAAAGUUGAGGGACCAAUUUGGAAACCUAACAACAUUUUAUCUAUAAAUAUAGUGGAAAAUGUUGAAACCUAGGGGGAGAAAAAAUUGAAGGCGGAGAAAAAUUUUGGGGAG
rnacentral:lncRNA from 1 species